UACGGAGGGUGCAAGCGUUGUCCGGAAUUAUUGGGCGUAAAGCGCUCGUAGGCGGUCUGUCGCGUCGGCUGUGAAAACUCGGGGCUCAACCUCGAGCUUGCAGUCGAUACGGGCAGGCUAGAGUUCGGCAGGGGAGACUGGAAUUCCUGGUGUAGCGGUGAAAUGCGCAGAUAUCGGGAGGAACACCGGUGGCGAAGGCGGGUCUCUGGGCAGAUACUGACGCUGAGAAGCGAAAGCGUGGGGAGCAAACAGG
rnacentral:rRNA from 1 species